CCUCGAGGACGACCUCGAGGAUGACUUCUAGGACAAUUUCGAGGACAACCUCG
rnacentral:ncRNA from 1 species